UACGGAGGGUGCAAGCGUUAUCCGGAUUCACUGGGUUUAAAGGGUGCGUAGGUGGGUUGGUAAGUCAGUGGUGAAAUCUCCGUGCUUAACAUGGAAACUGCCAUUGAUACUGCCAGACUUGAAUUAUUAGGAAGUAACUAGAAUAUGUAGUGUAGCGGUGAAAUGCUUAGAGAUUACAUGGAAUACCAAUUGCGAAGGCAGGUUACUACUAAUGGAUUGACGCUGAUGGACGAAAGCGUGGGGAGCAAACAGG
rnacentral:rRNA from 1 species